rnacentral:lncRNA from 1 species
AGGGUAUGCAAGAUAUAUGAUGAUUGGAAACGUUAGAAAUGUUUGAGUGAUUUGAAUGCUUCAUAAACUCUUAAUUUGAAGGCUUUUAUAUGAUAUUUAGAGACAUGAUGACAUGUAGUUUCCAGACCAGUUAUCAAUAAAAUAUUUCAGUUAAAUGAUGGCACACACGCAUCACUGCACCCAAGCAAUGCGGGAUGUUUGUGGAAUCGGAAUUGUCCCACAUCGAAAACGUUUCAAAAAUUAAAAUAGUUUAUAUAGUUCAACGAAAUAGAUUUGGCCACGACCUUACUUGAACAGGAUCUGUUCUAUAGGUUCGUACCUCUGUAUCCUUAAGUUCUAAGGAGACAGGAACUGAAAUCUGGUGGAUGAUCUAUGACUCUGUGAUCAGAGCGUGAUUAACGGCUAGAUGAACUUCUCCUCGGAUUAGUGAAAUCUCCAGCUGUAGAGGAUCGUUCCUGGUCAGCAGUGGCUUAGGAUGGUCACAGAGUUGUCUGACAGAUUCUCUAAAGUAAUUUUAAUUUUUUGGAAAAUUCAGAUUCUCUUAAAAUAUUACUCUUGUUUUUGUAUGUUAUUAAAAACACAUUGCAAAAAUAUGAGAUCUACAUAAAUUAUUUAUGUAUUUCAUUGUAAAAUUAGAUAAAAAAAAAUAUUAAUAAAGUUUACUUGUGCUAAGUUUUUAAAAAGAGGUACAUUAAGUUUAGAAAGAAUUGACACAAAAAAUAUUAAACUAAAUAAUAUUAAGAAUAAAGAAAAAAUAUAAAUUAAAAUAUAUAAUAAAAAUAUAAUGUAUUAUGAUCUAAAUUAAAAAAAGAAAUCACUUGUCUUUAUCUAAAUUUGGUCAGUUAUCCUAAAACCUAAUUUAAUAUUAAAUUGAAAAAAUACAAUGGAAAAUGCUUUGUAGUGAUUAUGUCAGACGAAUGAAGCAAUGCUAAAAACUGAUGGAGGAGACUUCCAUUGAUUUUGACAGACGAUUUGAUUACGGAUAAAAUAUAUUUUAAUACACGUUUUAAACUCAUUGUUUUGUUAUUAAUAUGUGAUUCAACAUGGUGUUCUUUAUUUAGUAAUUCUUUUAAAAUAAUUAUUAUUUAAUUAACCUUUGAAAUAACUUUUUUAAAAUAAACAAGUAUUUCUUUAGAUUUUAUCAGCACCAGACUGUAUUAAUAAGGGGCCAUGAUUUUGUUUUUAGUAGUUUUUUUAAUAGAAUUAUUUAUUAAGUCGUGUUAUGCAAAUUGAUAAAGAAUAUUAAAAAACUUUACUCAUUAUAUAUCUUAGUUCAUCAUUUUUUAGUAUUAACAGUGUUUUUUAAGACUCUUUUUUAAUAAAUUGUUACGAAAAUGAUGUACUUUCUGUCAUUUAUUUUGGCUAGAUUAGAAGCGAAGUCAGCGUAGGAAUAGAUGAUUACUAAAAUGAGAUAUUGAUUACCACAAAGUAAAAAAAGAAAAAAAAAAAAAAAAAGUAAAAAAUCAAGAGCCGAUAAAAUCACCGGUGUGUGCUGGUAACCUUCGAACACAACACAUGGAAGUGACUCUGACGAGCUUGCUUCAUCACCGCUGUGCAUGAUCACUAAGUGGAAGGUGUUCCAUCUUCCAUUUUCGCAGACAAAUUAAGAAAAAUUAUAUUUUUUCACCUUUUCUUUGGCGUCUGAAACUGUUUUCCUUUCAUGGGUGAAUCCACCAUUCCUCAUUUUCAGCAUCUAAUGGCGAAAAAAUUGCUCUUUUUGUUGACCCUUUUGGAAAUACUCCUCUGUGGGCAAUCC